rnacentral:rRNA from 1 species
UACGUAGGGUGCGAGCGUUAAUCGGAAUUACUGGGCGUAAAGCGUGUUCAGGCGGCCUGGCAAGUCGGGCGUGAAAUCUCUCGGCUCAACCGAGAGAGGCUGUCCGAUACUGCUGGGCUUGAGGACGGUAGAGGGUGGUGGAAUUCCGCGUGUAGUGGUGAAAUGCGUAGAUAUGCGGAGGAACACCAGUGGCGAAGGCGGCCACCUGGACCGUCCCUGACGCUCAAACACGAAAGCUAGGGUAGCGAACGGG